rnacentral:misc_RNA from 1 species
GAUGAAGAACGUAGUGAAAUGCGAUAAGUAGUGUGAAUUGCAGAAUUCAGUGAAUCAUCGAAUCUUUGAACGCACAUUGCGCCCCUUGGUAUUCCAUGGGGCAUGCCUGUUCGAGCGGCAUUUGUACCUUCAAGCUUUGCUUGGUGUUGGGUGUUUGUCUCGCCUUUGCGUGUAGACUCGCCUUAAAAUAAUUGGCAGCCGGCGUAUUGAUUUCGGAGCGCAGUACAUCUCGCGCUUUGCACUCAUAACGACAGCGUCCAAAAGUACAUUUUACACUCUUGACCUCGGAUCAGGUAGGGAUACCCGCUGAACUUAAGCAUAUCAAUAAGCGGAGGA